rnacentral:rRNA from 1 species
CCUACGGGUGGCAGCAGUGAGGAAUAUUGGUCAAUGGGCGUAAGCCUGAACCAGCCAAGUCGCGUGAGGGAUGAAGGUUCUAUGGAUCGUAAACCUCUUUUAUAAGGGAAUAAAUUGCGGGACGUGUCCCGUUUUGUAUGUACCUUAUGAAUAAGGAUCGGCUAACUCCGUGCCAGCAUCCGCGGUAAUACGGAGGAUCCGAGCGUUUACCGGAUUUUUUGGGGUUAAAGGGUGCGUAGGCGGCCUUUUAAGUCAGCGGUGAAAGUCUGUGGCUGAACCAUAGAAUUGCCGUUGAAACUGGGGGGCUGGAGUGUGCUUGAGGCAGGCGGAAUGCGUGGUGUAGCGGUGAAAUGCAUAGAUAUCACGCAGAACACCAAUUGCGAAGGCAGCCUGCCAAGCCAUGACUGACGCUGAUGCACGAAAGCGUGGGGAUCAAACAGGAUUAGAUACCCCGGUAGUC